AAACAAGCGACCACCUCUCGUUGCCACCUCUCUCUUAAAUUCAUUCUGAUCAGCAACUUCUCGAAUCUAGUCAGUCCUCCUGAUUCUAUAAUUCUAACUUUCUCUCCUUCAACAAUCUACUCAACAUCACCAAAAUGGUCGACGCAGUCAAACAGACCCUCAACGAGUUCCUCCACGACGAUGCCAAACUCAGCGAACUGAUCGAAGAGACAUGGCCCAACGUAAGUGUUAAAGUAUUAAGUUAUUGCAUCCACUUGAUUUCAUCGUUAUUUUGUCAUAAUGCUAAACAACUUCGAAAUUUCAAAGAGAUAGAGAUCGUUGAUAAGUCGAGACCAUAUUUUUUCACAACCCGGCCAUUAACAUUAAUGAAAUCGAAUUAAAUUAUUUUAUUUGAAAUGACUAGAACUGAAUUGAACAGAAUUGUGUUGGGUAUGGAUGGCUUGUUGUUGUUAGUUGCUUAUGGUAUGAAUGACUCAGAGAAAAGGGUUGAUUUGUUCGAAUGAAGAUUUGCUGGGUGUUUUAGAAGGACGCGGAGAAAGUUACUGUGAAGGAAAUUCAGCCCAACCUCAAGCAAUACAUCGACCAACACGAUAGUGGGGCAGUUCCCGAGGCUAAGAGGGACGAGCUGAGAACGAAAUACUUCGCCGCUCGGGCCGACGAGGAACUGGACAAGGCAGGCUACAAGGCAUUCCUCAAGGACCUCCUCGCAGAUAUAGCUGCCCAGUUGUAAACAACAACAAUAACAAUAAUAAAUAACUAACAACAAAAUCGAUCACUUCCUUUUGUAACAUCCAUCUUCGACGCUCUAUUUUUCUCUUCGCCCAUUGGUCCACGACAAAACACGACACGACUCGAACUGAACCGACAAAACUCGACACGAAUUGAGCCCAAAAGACAGCUCAUGACAAUGAGACCCUUCAUGACAACUUAUACAUUUCUUUCCUCUCUUCUCGGCUGUACUAAACCGACUAAUGACCAUCAUGAAAUUUCAAGACUACCAGCUGCACUGUCCAAAACAGAACGGAACAAAACGAACUUUCCAAAUUAAAUUCCACUUCGCUACUUUUCACCAAAUUGGGCCUUUUUUAAUUUUUCUAUUCUGAAUAUAUAAAUUGAUACUUGAUGAUAUUUAUUUGAGACAUGCUGAAGUGAGCUCUCAGAUGUCCAUUAAUUUAGUUUUGUAACUAUUUAUACCAACAAAAUAAUUUGGUUCUAUAGAAAAUUGGGUAAAUUAAAUUUUCCAGCUCUGA